AGACAGCCAGGAAAAUGCUGAUAAAAAUGAAGAUGGUGGGGAGAAGAACAUGGAAGACUCAGGGCA
rnacentral:misc_RNA from 1 species